ensembl:lncRNA
GGCAGCUCGAGCAUAAAGCUAUAGGCCUACAAAUCAAGUGAGGUGACUGUACUUCAGUUUUCAUUCGGUUAUCAGGAUUUGGAACUAGAAUCAACAGAGAGCAAACAUGUGAUUCGUGACCGAAGCAAAGCAAUUACAAUGUUAUAGCUUCGAUACUGCCCCUAUUCGGCAAGAAAAUAAACGGCAUGGUUUUUGACGUUGUUUCGCGGGGAUUAUGCUACUAUUCUCGGUUUUGAAAGGGAGAGAGCCAGGCAUCACAGCGCGGCACUAGAGAAACCGGAGGUUAAUCACGUUUUCAGCACCUAGACAGCUCCUUGUGGAAGAGGUCUAUAUUCGGCAGCAAGGAGUCCCUUCUGCGAUCGCGGGGGAAGCCCUCAACCCUCACUAGCAAUUUUGGAGCGGUGCAGCCAACAACACACACAACGUUCUGACCUUUCUUCCUCCACUCUCCAAUGAUGCUGGUUAUUUGGUGGUCAGUCAGGGACACUUAAGAUAAUCUUGCUGAACGACGAUGGUGCUUGCAUUUCGGCUCCAGUCUUUUCGUUUUGCAAAGGAUUCUAAGCAGCAGCAGCAGGGUGCUUGUCCAAUGUAAAAGUGCUAAGGAAGGCAGCAGCCUACACAUUGCCACGAGUUUGGAGCACGAGCCUCACUCGUGCUGAUCAUCACAGAGGGAGACAUUAUCACGAGCACGCGGCCAACGGGAGGCUCUAUUAGACUGUCAACAAUGUAAAUCAAGACAGGUUCAACAUGAGUCCAGCAGAGUCUAUCUGGUGUGGUGAACUCAGAAGAGAGGCAUAGCCUGACUGAGAACUGAGUGAAGAUCAUAGCCUCCUCCUCUUCCUCUCUCCAUCGCCAUCACCAUCCACCAACAUGGCUAACCCUCAUGACGUGGUGGAGCAGCAGGCUGGAGGCCUAUCAGACCUGGAGAUCAUAUCCCAGCCAGACCCAGUGGAGGAGGCAUGGUGUGCAGGAGAUGAACCCUUCCUGCAUGGCUCCUGUCCAGCUGGUCAGCUUUGGCUACAGGGACCUUCCUCUGGCCCACCUGGACCUCUCCCUGGCCGGAUCACAGCUCCUCUCUAACCUGGAUGAGGACGACAACAGGGAAGGGUGAGGCAAUACAACUGUAUUCAUCCAUUGAAAGGCACUGACGCG